GGUCUAGGCGGGCUCGUCAGUCGGGUAUGAAAGCCCUCGGCUCAACCGGGGAAUGGUGCCCGAUACUGCGGGCCUUGAGUGCAGCAGAGGAGAGUGGAACUCCUGGUGGAGCGGUGAAAUACGUAGAUAUCAGGAGGAACGCCGGAGGCGAAAGCGAUUCUCUGGGCUGCUACUGACGCUGAAGCCCGAAAGCCAGGGGAGCGAAC
rnacentral:rRNA from 1 species